UUCCUGUGGGAGUGGCUUUGGGGUCACGAAACACGCAAUUUCCGUUUAUUUUACAAAAGAAAGGUAUACGCAUUUUCACAAAAUAUAACGUUUGAAGUUUGAUUUUGUGGAAAUUAGCUGUAUGAGGUAGAAGUCCCACACUGACAGGAAUCAGGGAUUUUGAGGAUGUCAAGACCUGGAUAAGCCAUACCAUGAGGGAGUCACAUGAAGAUUUUUAGCAACAGUGAACCAGUCCCACUCUUCACACUGUCUAUUUCUUCUGGGAGAGUCUGGAAUAUGGAACAGUGCCUACAAAGGUCUUUGGACACACUUAAAACAUGAUUUUUAUUGCAUCGGAUACAAAUUCUUAUUACCAUCUGGUCCCAGGGAGUAUUUUUAAACAGUAUUGUAUAAACUCAAAUUGUAAUGUUUUGCGUGAAGUGUUGUAGUUUGGUUCUCCUUUAAAACAAGUGCCAUUUAGAUUCAUAUGUUAUUUGUCCAUACUUGUUUGGGGCCAGUGUACAUUUCACAAAGACCAGUGGAAAAAGUGGUCAUGUUUAAUGAUCUUGUAGGAGUCGUCCUAGUGAAAGGCACAGACAGAGCAAGAGAAUAUGAAUGAGAGAGAUAAACACAUCCACAAACAUAUCAAUGUUAAAUCAAUGGCAGACUCAACACUUUAUUUCAACCAUUGUGAUUAAUCAGAAACAGAAACACUGUUUUUUACACUCUAAACGAUGUGUCUCUUACCUGAUGGCUCUCUGAAGCUGUUAAGAAACUUUUUUACAGUUGAGGAUUUGUCUUAAAGAACAAUAUGUUGCUUGACCCCUUAAACCCUAAUUUAACUUGAUACUGAUUUAAUGGAAUAGUGUGUAAGUGUAAGACGUAGAGUAUGCAGAUAAAUAUGUCUUUAACCAGCACUGCUGUGGUAUUCUUGAUUUGUGAUAGAUAACAGUCAAAAUGCAUUGACAACCUUGUUUUUAAGGUUAGCAUGUUCCAAUUAGCCCUUUCUCUGUAAUGAAGCAUAUGCCAAAUACACAA